ACUACAAACCGUGCUGCCGUCGUUCCGGCGCAGGCCGGAAGGGAGGAAAGUCCGGGCAGCAAAGAGCAACAUACCACUUAAUAGGUGGGAUCUACCUUGUAGGUACAGACAGUGCCACAGAAAAUAACCGCCCCCCGGGGUAAGGGUGAAAAUGUGGGGUAAGAGCCCACGUCGUGGUAUGGCAACAUGCCGCGAGGGUAAACCUUAUGUGCUGAAAUGCCAUGUAAACGAUCGCCCGAGGGUAGCUCGCCCAAUUGUCGAUCGAGGGUAGGCAGAUAGAGCUGUAGAGUGAUUUACAGCCUAGAUAAAUGGUAGCAGUCUAACUUGUUAGAUACAGAACCCGGCUUAUAGGUUUGUAGUUUUU
rnacentral:RNase_P_RNA from 1 species